rnacentral:rRNA from 1 species
UCAGAUUGAACGCUGGCGGCGUGCUUAACACAUGCAAGUCGCGCGUGAAAGGACUUCGGUCCGAGUAAAGCGGCGCACGGGUGAGUAACGCGUGGAUGAUCUACCCAUGAGUUAGGAAUAACGGCUGGAAACGGUCGCUAAUACCAAAUACGCUCCGAUUUCAACUUCGGGGGGAAAGGUGGCCUCUGCUUGCAAGCUACUGCUCAUGGAUGAGUCCGCGUCCCAUUAGCUAGUUGGUGGGGUAACGGCCCACCAAGGCGACGAUGGGUAGCCGGUCUGAGAGGAUGACCGGCCACACUGGGACUGGAACACGGCCCAGACUCCUACGGGAGGCAGCAGUGGGGAAUAUUGCGCAAUGGGCGAAAGCCUGACGCAGCGACGCCGCGUGAGGGAUGAAGGUCCUCGGAUCGUAAACCUCUGUCAGGAGGGAAGAACCGCCACGGUGCUAAUCAGCCGUGGUCUGACGGUACCUCCAAAGGAAGCACCGGCUAACUCCGUGCCAGCCGCUGC